GCGAACGGGAUUAGAUACCCUGGUAGUCCACGCUGUAAACGAUGUCGAUUUGGAGGUUGUGCCCUUGAGGCGUGGCUUCCGGAGCUAACGCGUUAAAUCGACCGCCUGGGGAGUACGGCCGCAAGGUUAAAACUCAAAUGAAUUGACGGGGGCCCGCACAAGCGGUGGAGCAUGUGGUUUAAUUCGAUGCAACGCGAAGAACCUUACCUACUCUUGACAUCCAGAGAACUUAGCAGAGAUGCUUUGGUGCCUUCGGGAACUCUGAGACAGGUGCUGCAUGGCUGUCGUCAGCUCGUGUUGUGAAAUGUUGGGUUAAGUCCCGCAACGAGCGCAACCCUUAUCCUUUGUUGCCAGCGGUUCGGCCGGGAACUCAAAGGAGACUGCCAGUGAUAAACUGGAGGAAGGUGGGGAUGACGUCAAGUCAUCAUGGCCCUUACGAGUAGGGCUACACACGUGCUACAAUGGCAUAUACAAAGAGAAGCGACCUCGCGAGAGCAAGCGGACCUCAUAAAGUAUGUCGUAGUCCGGAUUGGAGUCUGCAACUCGACUCCAUGAAGUCGGAAUCGCUAGUAAUCGUAGAUCAGAAUGCUACGGUGAAUACGUUCCCGGGCCUUGUACACACCGCCCGUCACACCAUGGGAGUGGGUUGCAAAAGAAGUAGGUAGCUUAACCUUCGGGAGGGCGCUUACCACUUUGUGAUUCAUGACUG
rnacentral:rRNA from 1 species